rnacentral:rRNA from 1 species
CCAUCAGUUUGAAGUUUCGAUGGAUACGGAUGAGCUACGCGAGACAUUAGCUAGUUGCGGGUAACGCCCACCAAGGCGACGAUGUCUAGGGGAACUGAGACGGUUGGUCCCCCACACUGGAACUGAGACACGGUCCAGACUCCUACGGGAGGCAGCAGUGAGGAAUAUUGGACAAUGGCCGGAAGGCUGAUCCAGCCAUGCCGCGUGCAGGAAUAAGGUCCUAUGGAUUGUAAACUGCUUUGAGAGGGAGCAAUAAGGAUGUCGUGACAUCCGAUGAGAGUACCUUUCGAAUAAGCAUCGGCUAACUCCGUGCC